GUCCACGCCUAACGGUGGCACUAAGUGUGGGAGGUAACUUCCCGUGCCGUAGCUAACGUAUUAAGUGCCCGCCUGGGAGUACGGCCGCAAGGUUAAACUCAAGGAAUUGACGGGCCCGCACAAGCGGUGGAGCAUGUGGUUUAAUUCGACGCAACGCGAAACCUUACCUAUGCUUGACAUCCCAAGGAGUCACUGGAAACAGGGAUUUGCCUCGCAAGAGGAGCUUGGAGACAGGUGCUGCAUGGCUGUCGU
rnacentral:rRNA from 1 species